CAUUGUACAUGAGUUCAGAACACUGGAUCAAGUGGUACUGGAGUUACCACCUGCCCCCAAAGAUUUGUAGUCAUCAUGUUACUGUUGAUUAAGCCCAGGAUCUUCAUUUGCAGUAUAGAAGAUUGACAGAUGUGAAGCAAAUUAAGGUCAGCCCACCUCAACUUGGCCAUUUGUAUCCUUGUGUCGUGGAUAUUGAAGCAACAGAGACGAGAGAUGUCAGAUGAUCAUAGGUGAAAUUUAAUUUGUAUUGCAAUGAUUCUCUUGUGCUCAAGUUUAUAUUUUCCUUGUGUUUGUACACACAUUCAGGAAAAAUGUAUAAAAACAUUAUCAUCACAUGUUUGUACAUUUUAAAUAGAAAUGUAUGUCUAAAUUAUAAUUCAUGCAUUGUUCACUUUGUCACAAGUAAUAUUAUAUUUUUACUACCUAAUAAAAUCCAUGCCUGAGAAAACUGCAUGAAGAAAUAUGGUGCGUACAACAUGAAAUAAAUUGUUUCAUACCAGUUACAA